AUUUGUCUGGUUAAUUCCGAUAACGAACGAGACUCUAGCCUGCUAACUAGGCGAUUUCCGGUACCCACAACAGUGUUACCGGCGAUUCAAUUUCUUCUUAGAGGGACAGGCGGCUCCUAGCCGCACGAGACUGAGCAAUAACAGGUCUGUGAUGCCCUUAGAUGUCCUGGGCCGCACGCGCGCUACACUGAAGGAAUCAGCGUGUCUUCCCUGGCCGACAGGCCCGGGUAACCCGUUGAACCUCCUUCGUGCUAGGGAUUGGGGCUUGCAAUUGUUCCCCAUGAACGAGGAAUUCCCAGUAAGCGCGAGUCAUAAGCUCGCGUUGAUUACGUCCCUGCCCUUUGUACACACCGCCCGUCGCUACUACCGAUUGAAUGAUUUAGUGAGGUCUUCGGACUGGUACGCGGCGAUUGA
rnacentral:rRNA from 1 species